AGUGAACGCUGGCGGUAGGCCUAACACAUGCAAGUCGAACGGCAGCACAGUAAGAGCUUGCUCUUACGGGUGGCGAGUGGCGGACGGGUGAGGAAUACAUCGGACUCUACUUUUUCGUGGGGGAUAACGUAGGGAAACUUACGCUAAUACAGCAUAUGCUCUACGGGUGAAAGCAGGGGAUCUUCGGACCUUUCGCGAUUGAAUGAGCCGAUGUCGGAUUAGCUAGUUGGCGGGGUAAAGGCCCACCCUGGCGACGAUCCGUAGCCGAUCUGAGAGGAUGAUCGGCCACACUGGAGCGGAGACACGGUCCAGACGCCUACGAGAGGCAGCAGUGGGGAAUAUUGGACAAUGGGCGCAAGCCUGAUCCAGCCAGACCGCGUGGGUGAAGAAGGCCUUCGGGUUGUAAAGCCCGUUUGUUGGGAAAGAAAAGCAGCAGGUUAAUACCCCGCUGUUCUGACGGUACCCAAUGAAUAAGCACCGGCUAACUUCGUG
rnacentral:rRNA from 1 species